rnacentral:rRNA from 1 species
CUACGGGCUGCUGCAGUGGGGAAUAUUGCACAAUGGAGGAAACUCUGAUGCAGCAACGCCGCGUGGAGGAUGACACUUUUCGGAGCGUAAACUCCUUUUAUAUAGGAAGAAGAUGACGGUACUAUAUGAAUAAGCGCCGGCUAACUCCGUGCCAGCAGCCGCGGUAAUACGGAGGGCGCAAGCGUUACUCGGAAUCACUGGGCGUAAAGAGCGUGUAGGCGGAUUAAAGAGUCAGAAGUGAAAUCCUAUAGCUUAACUAUAGAACUGCUUCUGAAACUCUUAAUCUAGAAUAUGGGAGAGGUAGAUGGAAUUUCUGGUGUAGGGGUAAAAUCCGUAGAGAUCAGAAGGAAUACCGAUUGCGAAGGCGAUCUACUAGAACAUUAUUGACGCUGAGACGCGAAAGCGUGGGGAGCAAACAGGAUUAGAUACCGCGUAGUC